rnacentral:misc_RNA from 1 species
GAUGAAGAACGCAGCGAAAUGCGAUAAGUAAUGUGAAUUGCAGAAUUCAGUGAACCAUCGAAUCUUUGAACGCACAUUGCGCCCGGCAGUAAUCUGCCGGGCAUGCCUGUCCGAGCGUCAUUUCUGCCCUCGAGCGAGUCCAGCAUCUAGGUGCUGGGCCCGCCCGGCGUUGGGGCACUACGGGAAGCCCUGUGCUGUCCCCCGUAGGCCCCGAAAUGAAGUGGCGGUCCUGCCGCGGCGCCCCCUGCGUAGUAUAACAGCUCGCUUCGGGAGCCGGUGGAGGCCUGCCGUCAAACCUUACUCUCUAAGUUUGACCUCGGAUCAGGUAGGGUUACCCGCUGAACUUAAGCAUAUCAAUAAGCGGAGGA